rnacentral:rRNA from 1 species
GACGAACGCUGGCGGCGUGCUUAACACAUGCAAGUCGAACGAAGAUAUCCUUUGUGAAGCCUUCGGGUGGAACUGUGGAUAGACUGAGUGGCGGACGGGUGAGUAACGCGUGAGCAACCUGGCCUAAAGAGGGGGACAACAGCUGGAAACGGCUGCUAAUACCGCAUAAGACCACGAUCUCGCAUGGGAUUGAGGUAAAAGGAUUUAUUCACUUUAGGAUGGGCUCGCGUCCCAUUAGAUAGUUGGUGAGGUAAAGGCUCACCAAGUCGACGAUGGGUAGCCGACCUGAGAGGGUGAUCGGCCACACUGGAACUGAGACACGGUCCAGACUCCUACGGGAGGCAGCAGUGGGGAAUAUUGGGCAAUGGGCGAAAGCCUGACCCAGCAACGCCGCGUGAAGGAAGAAGGCCUUCGGGUUGUAAACUUUUGUCCUAUGGGAAGAAGAAGUGACGGUACCAUAGGAGGAAGCUCCGGCUAACUACGUGCCAGCCGCCGCCGUAAAAC